UACGUAGGGGGCAAGCGUUGUCCGGAAUUAUUGGGCGUAAAGAGCUCGUAGGCGGUCUGUUGCGUCCGCUGUGAAAACUCGGGGCUUAACCCCGAGCCUGCAGUGGAUACGGGCAGACUAGAGGUAGGUAGGGGAGAAUGGAAUUCCCGGUGUAGGCGGUGAAAUGCGCAGAUAUCGGGAAGGAACACCGGUGGCGAAGGCGGUUCUCUGGGCCGUU
rnacentral:rRNA from 1 species